UAGAGUUUGAUCAUGGCUCAGAUUGAACGCUGGCGGCAUGCUUUACACAUGCAAGUCGAACGGCAGCACGGAAGAGCUUGCUCUUUUGGUGGCGAGUGGCGAACGGGUGAGUAAUGCAUCGGAACGUACCGAGUAGUGGGGGAUAACUGUCCGAAAGGAUGGCUAAUACCGCAUACGCUUUGAGAAGGAAAGUGGGGGACCUUAUGGCCUCACGCUAUUCGAGCGGCCGAUGUCUGAUUAGCUAGUUGGUGGGGUAAGAGCCCACCAAGGCGACGAUCAGUAGCGGGUCUGAGAGGAUGAUCCGCCACACUGGGACUGAGACACGGCCCAGACUCCUACGGGAGGCAGCAGUGGGGAAUUUUGGACAAUGGGCGCAAGCCUGAUCCAGCCAUUCCGCGUGCAGGAUGAAGGCCUUCGGGUUGUAAACUGCUUUUGUACGGAACGAAAAGGCUCUAAGGAAUACCUGGAGUUUAUGACGGUACCGUAAGAAUAAGCUCUAGCGGACUACGUGCCAGCAGCCGCGGUAAUA
rnacentral:rRNA from 1 species